rnacentral:antisense_RNA from 1 species
AGCAUAUGUAACAUGACCUGUGCAUCACUAUUCUUUUGUGAUCAAAACUUCCUUACUUUUACUUUUUUAUCUGUGGUAGGACCACCCAGAGCAGGGGUCCACAACUCCUAGGCCACAGACUGGUACCAGUCCAUGGCCUGUUAGGAACCACACCACACAGGAGGAGGUGAGCAGCAGGCAAACCGGAGAAGAUUCAUCUGUAUUUAUAGCCACUCCCCAUGGCUCAUAUUACCUCCUGAGCUCUGCCUCCCAUCAGAUCAGUGAUAGCAUUAGAUACUCAUUGGAGCAUGAACCCUGUUGUGAACUGCCUAUCUGAGGGAUCUAGGUUGUGUGCUUCUUACGAGAAUCUAAUGCCUGAUUGUCUGUCACUGUCUCCCUUUGCCCCCGUAUGGGACCAUCUAGUUGCAGGGAAACAAGCUCCGAGCUUCCACUGAUUCUACAUUAUG